rfam:Salmo salar isolate Sally breed double haploid chromosome ssa26, whole genome shotgun sequence.
UGCAUUCACUACUGUAAGUUGCUCUGGAUAAGAGCGUCUGCUAAAUGGCAAAAA